UGCUCAUGUUGGUCCUGCUUUUAUUUCUUCUUCACAUUGUAAAGUCAUGCAGAUCCCCUUGCCACACUGUCACCCCAUGAGAGUAAUUAUAUUUUUAAUAUCUAUGGUCAAAGAAUGAGAAAAUAAACUUCCAGUAGUCCUAUAUUAAAAUUUACAUUAAUGUAUUUUAUAAACAGGUUGGGGUCUUUGGGAUUGAGUUUCUGCUCCCUAGGUGGAAUAUUGUGAAUAUGUAUCUGAGAAAAACAUGGUUUUCUAGGCUUCCAUUGCUAAUUAAUCUCUUUUAUGACAGACAUUUUGUCUUUUAAAUUUAUGAAUGCAUAGAUGGAUAGCUUAAUAUUUAUAGGGCAGGUUUACCUUUUUUAUCUCUGAGCCUCUUUCACCCUUGGGGAGGAAGGAUCAUCUCACUGUCACCCUUGUACUCUUUAAACCCAUGCUUUAAAAAUGCACUGUGAUUUUCUCAUCCCCCACCCCCUGUCUUAGCUGUAUCCAAAGAAAAUUUUUAUCCUUAUUUUUGUCUGUGGAGUGAGAUGUGAUAGCUACUUAGAUAAUGGGGGAAAUCCACGACUUAGAAUUAUUUCUUCUGAAAUAUUGUUUUAUGAUCUACUUCAUAGAUACGAAUCACUUUGGUAUGGACACUGGGUAGUGACUCUUAAAAUUCUUUUCAGUAGGUUGGAACUGAGGAGCAAAUCAGAGUCAGAAAAGAAAAUCUAGGGAACUUCAGUAAGAAAAUAGCUCUUCCAUCUUCUUCAUCCCUGUACUAGCAUCCUAAAGAACUCCAAAACAUCCU
rnacentral:lncRNA from 1 species